ensembl:lncRNA
GAUAGAAGCUUGCUUAAGUAGAAGUAUAAUAUAUGCAAUAAAUCUGAAGAAAAUCACUAGCAUUGGUAACAGACUUGGCUCAUGGAGCACAAUAGCACCUACAGUUCUGUGGCCAAAAAUAAUGAAGUUUAAGAAGAAUUGAUUGGAUUAUGGAAACAUUUCUAUAAAGCCAUGUGUGCAUCAGCAGAUGCCCACCACCUACUUAGGAACCGAUGGCACGAAAAGCCUGAAAGGAGGAUGCAGCCCUCUGGUUCUGAGACACAGAUGCAUUUAGAGGCACUCAAAGAAACCACUCAUUAGAAAAAACACAGACUGCUCCUCUGCCUGUGACCAUCCUGCUCCACCAAGGAAGCUGUGACCAGGGUGACAGGGUUCACUCCUUUCAAGCUUGUUCUUCACCAUCUCUGCAGCACCUGUCCCUGCACUCCUGCCGCACAGGGCUUGGGAUCAUGCCUUGGCCUUGUGCAGAGGUGUGAUUCUUACCAUCACAGUGCACUGCAUCAUGAUGAAAGAUGCUUUGGACCUUACAACUGCAGGAAACAUGAGACAGGGGUCAGCUCGUGGCUCAGUGGAUGAGAUCAAAAUCCUCCUUGAUGCCAGUAGAAUUUCUCUUCGGGGAUCACAUCAGACAUAAGUAAUGGAGCCCACCAGACAGUUAAUAAUGGGGCGAGAGGAGAGGAUUUUGUUCUGUGAUUAUAUUUUGUCUUUUAAACAUGUAUCAAACCCAUGAAUUUUAAUGAACAUCUUUUUCUUCUUUUUUUUUUUUCUCCUAUGGACAUUACAGAGUAAUAUUUUUAUAUUACACAUCCUAUCUUUUAAAAGGAGUUUUCCCUGUUCUCCAAACCAAACAGUUUUUGCCGAAUCAAGUCUCCUUGUUUCAGGUACAUCUCCCACAUACCUGAAGAUGUAUUUCAGUUCUGUGUUCACUUCUGAAUUUGUAGAACUGGACUGAAAGCUUAGUGUAAUGGAAAAGACUGCUGAAAACUUUGCUAAACAGAUGAUCACAUUCCUGAGUUUGUUUUACUUAGUUAGCAUUUUUGCCUGCUGUGAGGUGUUUUCCUUGGAUGGUUACCUACAAAUACAGCACUGACCUCAGUGUGCAUGAAGCAGGCCAGCACAGACAAACAGAGCCAAUUGGACAUGCUCUAUAAAUCAUCACCCACAUCCUUCCAGCAGCAAAAAUAAAAAGGGAAGGAGGAGGGGAUAAAACAACUGGUGAGUGUUCCACAUGAGGAAAUGGAGGCUAUUUGGUGUCACCAGCUGGAAAUACUCAGAGAGCUAAGGAGAAGGGUAUCAGCAUGAGCUAGCUCAGAGCUGCAUAAAGGGC